ensembl:snoRNA
ACAUAAAGGUCCAAUCGAAUGAACCUGCCCAGCCCCAUGUGCCUCUUAUCGUGUCUGAUGCCAGAGCAAACCGUAGCCCCAAAUCAUUGCCUUGCCUCCUAGCCCAUAGGCUUCUGGCAUUGCAGUGGGUUGCACAGUG